AAUUACUGGGUUAUAUGGUACGUAACUAUCACCAUGAGAUGCAAAGUUGCUAAAAAUAUAAAGGCUUAGUAUCAAAAUCAGAAGGGACAAAUGGUAAAAACUAACACAAAAACUUCUGGUGCUUUGUUGCUUUCUCAUUCACUGUUUCCCUAUUUUUGUUCAGUUGGCUCUAUUGUUUUAUUUCAGAGAAGCAACUAUCAUAAAAAGCCCCACUAACCACCCUUGUCAUUAGUAUAUGGUAUAUUCAUCCCCUCACAUAAUGCAAGGAAUACAGGACAGCAUGAAUAGUU
rnacentral:misc_RNA from 1 species